GUGCCAGCCGCCGCGGUAAUACCGGCAGCCCAAGUGAUGGCCGAUAUUAUUGGGCCUAAAGCGUCCGUAGCUGGCCAGCCAAGUCUGUUGGGAAAUCCACGUGCUCAACGCGUGGGCGUCCAGCGGAAACUGUCUGGCUUGGAGCCGGAGGACUCGGGGGGUACGUCCGGGGUAGGAGUGAAAUCCCGUAAUCCUGGACGGACCACCGAUGGCGAAAGCGCCUCGAGAGGACGGACCCGACAGUGAGGGACGAAAGCCAGGGUCUCGAACCGGAUUAGAAACCCUUGUAGUCC
rnacentral:rRNA from 1 species